rnacentral:lncRNA from 1 species
AGUUCCUGCCAUCUCGGAGUCGUCGAUUCGAGUCAAAUUGAACUGGGGAAUCGGCGACAGAAGGAUCUAGGGUUUGGUAGGCGAUUCGAAAUUGGGGAAAAGUGAAGUGAGAAGUAUGAAGCGCUCACCACUAUUUAUAGUCCCUGGGAAAAUUGCAAAAACCCCCUAGAGAAUCCGAAAAUUGCAAGGGAAGGAAUCGGAAAUCGAUCUCCAAAUCCCUGAAAUCACGCCUGAGUCGACGAUUCCCAAGCUGAAUCGUCGAUUCCGGUCACUAUUUUGCAAAAUUUGAGAGAUAUAUUUCCUUAAUUGGAAAAUUUGCAUAUAUCCUCAAAAUAUCUCUAAGGAUC